rnacentral:rRNA from 1 species
CGAACGGGUGAGUAACACGUGAGCAAACUUGCCCUUGCACUCAUGGCAAAUAACAGGUUGGAAACAGCUGCUAAUACCGGGUUACGACCCUUCGACUGGCAUCAUCUGGAGGUGUGAAAGCUCCGACGGUCAACGGAUGGGCUCGCGGCCUAUCAGCUUGUUGGUGAGGUAACGGCUCACCAAGGCUUCGACGGGUAGCCGGCCUGAGACGGGCAACCGGCCACCACUGGGACUGAGAUACGGCCCAGACUCCUACGGGAGGCAGCAGUGGGGAAUAUUGCACAAUGGGCGCAAGCCUGAUGCAGCAACGCCGCGUGCGGGAUGACGGCCUUCAGGUUGUAAACCGCUUUCAGUAGGGACGAAGGUNACCUGACGGUACCUACAGAAGAAGGACCGGCCAACUACGUGCCAGCAGCCGCGG